GACGGAGGGGGCUAGCGUUGUUCGGAAUUACUGGGCGUAAAGAGCGCGUAGGCGGAUUAGUAAGUUGGAAGUGAAAGCCCGGGGCUUAACCUCGGAAUAGCUUUCAAAACUACUAGUCUUGAGUGUAGUAGGGGAUGAUGGAAUUCCUAGUGUAGAGGUGAAAUUCUUAGAUAUUAGGAGGAACACCGGUGGCGAAGGCGGUCAUCUGGGCUACAACUGACGCUGAGGCGCGAAAGCUAGGGGAGCAAACAGG
rnacentral:rRNA from 1 species